UAAAGUUUUAUGGGAAUUUUGUUUCAUUGUAUACGGAUUCAGUUUUUAUUUUAACCAAUAUGAUAUUCAUUAGCGUUGUGUUCUGAAACGAGGAGAGGUUAUCAUAUAAAGGGAAAGGGGUAUUGUUAUAUUAGUAGCUCUACAUGAUUCCAGUAAGGAAAAACAAGAGACCUCGACAAUAACGUUACUGUUCGAACAUAAUUUUUAACCCCCAAUUUUCGCAUCGAACACUUGAGCUCAGAUUAAGGUUGAGGUGCAAGACGAGCCGCGUGGAUUGUGUUAUUAGGCGACUCCACAAAGUCCCAGAUUGUUUUGCAGGUAAAAGUAUUCAGCUAGGAUGAUUGGCUAUCAGCUGGGAUUGGCAAACUCCAUUUUCUUCCCGGAGCAGUGUCGACUCAUUAUGGUUAUCAUAUGUGUGUAUGGGCAUGUCGGGGCCCUGUCCCGACUCAUAUGGUUCAGGUGUUUACUCUUAGAGACUUUACAAACAGUGUCCUGUGGUUAGUAUGUAGAGAUGUCAUAUGUUGAGUAAAGUGACCACGUAGGCCGAUAUGUCCGUUUGACUUAUUCGAUUUUUGAUUAAUUGAGUAUCGUUCGCAAA